AGUUAAUAAGUUUAAUAAUAAACAUAUAUUUUGAAAAUAUAAAAUAAAAGAUAAAAACUUUUAUUAACUU
rnacentral:tRNA from 1 species